rnacentral:lncRNA from 1 species
GGACUAUUAAUACUCAAAGGAAUAAAAGCAGCAAAGGGAGUGUUUGGAAUUUCUCCCAAUAAAAUUAUUACUCCAUAUACUAUGAAUCAAAUUGAUGAGUUAGCUAAUGAGUUAAAUACUUGGGCAAUAAUCAUGUGUAAAUCUAAUGUUUCAUUUGAUAAUCACUUACCAUCUAAUCCUUUGUUGUCUUUUUGGUCUUCGCAUCCUGUAGUUUUUCCAAAAAUGACAAGAAAAACACCUAUCAUGAAUGCUCCAAAUAUAUUCACUGAUGGGUCAAAUAAUGGUACAGCAGCAGUAGUUACUCCUGAUCAAACUUUUACAUUUUUAGUACCCAAACAAUCAGCUCAAAAGGUAGAGCUUAAUGCAGUAUUACAAGCUUUUGUGAUGUUUAAAGAUUCUGUAUUUAAUUUAUUUUCUGAUAGUCAGUAUAUAGUUAAUGCUAUAGUAUCCCUUGAAGAUGCUGGCAGGAUUUCCCCUUCCUCUACUGUUUUCUCUUUGUUUUCUG